rnacentral:rRNA from 1 species
AUUGAACGCUGGCGGCAGGCUUAACACAUGCAAGUCGAGCGGGGGAAGGUAGCUUGCUACCGGACCUAGCGGCGGACGGGUGAGUAAUGCUUAGGAAUCUGCCUAUUAGUGGGGGACAACAUCUCGAAAGGGAUGCUAAUACCGCAUACGUCCUACGGGAGAAAGCGGGGGAUCUUCGGACCUUGCGCUAAUAGAUGAGCCUAAGUCGGAUUAGCUAGUUGGUGGGGUAAAGGCCUACCAAGGCGACGAUCUGUAGCGGGUCUGAGAGGAUGAGACGCAACACUGGGACUGAGACACGGCACAGACUCCUACGGGAGGCAGCAGUGGGGAAUAUUGGACAAUGGGGGGAACCCUGAUCCAGCCAUGCCGCGUGAGUGAAGGAGGCCUUAUGGUUGUAAAGCACUUUAAGCGAGGAGGAGGCUACUCUAGUUAAUACCUAGGGAUAGUGGACGUUACUCGCAGAAUAAGCACCGGCUAACUCUGUGCCAGCAGCCGCUGUAAUAC